AUUGAACGCUGGCGGCAGGCUUAACACAUGCAAGUCGAGCGGGGUGAUGGUGCUUGCACUAUCACUUAGCGGCGGACGGGUGAGUAAUGCUUAGGAAUCUGCCUAUUAGUGGGGGACAACAUCUCGAAAGGGAUGCUAAUACCGCAUACGUCCUACGGGAGAAAGCAGGGGAUCACUUGUGACCUUGCGCUAAUAGAUGAGCCUAAGGUGGAUUAGCUAGUUGGUGGGGUAAAGGCCUACCAAGGCGACGAUCUGUAGCGGGUCUGAGAGGAUGGACCGCCACACUGGGGCUGAGACACGGCCCAGACUCCUACGGGAGGCAGCAGUGGGGAAUAUUGGACAAUGGGGGGAACCCUGAUCCAGCCAUGCCGCGUGUGUGAAGAAGGCCUUAUGGUUGUAAAGCACUUUAAGCGAGGAGGAGGCUCUUUUGGUUAAUACCCAAGAUGAGUGGACGUUACUCGCAGAAUAAGCACCGGCUAACUCUGUGCCAGCCGCCGCGGUAA
rnacentral:rRNA from 1 species